rnacentral:lncRNA from 1 species
UCCCGGAGGGCUAAUGGCACAUUUGGCUUCAAGGUUUGUAUCAAAUUUAUUUUCUCCAACUUAGGAAUCAUGAAAUCAGCAUGGUUCUUAAAAAAAAUUUCACGAUGUUUUAUUUUAGGGCUAAUGUUUAUUUUCAAUUCCUUUAUACGUAUGUAAAAUCGACUAAAUUCUAAAUGUAUCCAGCACUGGACACUUGGAUAAGGCUAUGGGUUAUAUGUCCGGCAUGUGUAGUUUGGCACGUACCUAGCAAACAUAUUUUGUAAUUUGAGUUUUAACCAGCCACACAUGAAAUGCUCUAUGAUUCCUUAUAAAUGUCAUUUUACCAUGAAACAUAAAGAAUUAGAUUUAGAAAUAUAAUAUUUGAGGUUUCCAAAAAAUUCUUUGUAAACACGCAUAUUGAAAUAGUGUUUAAAGAUGAAAUGCAUAUUUCAUUAUUUGACUCAAGACUCGUAGAAUAUUUAUUAUUGCUGCCUUAAUAUCCUAUAAAUUUGUAGCUAAACACCCCCUCCCACCCACACACACACACACACACACACACACCCCUCCCCUCUUGGCAGCUGCUAUGUGAGUUGAUUGAAGGUGUAACAGUAGUCUAUGCGAAGUCAAUAAUACAGGUUUCAAGCAGUUUCAGUUUAAGCUGGUUGUGUCCAGAGAAAGUUCUAGUUGAUGUGUGUUGUAGAUGUUGUCUUCGUCUCUUCUAUGUCCAUGCUUUGAUUUCUAAGAAUUGUAUCAACCCUUUGAAUCACUUUCCAUUGUGUUAUGUAAAUGUCAUAUGUGAUGUAAAAAAUUAUGUGUAAUUUGAUGUUACGGGAAGAGAUUGGUUAUUGUAGUCUUGUGGAUUUUUAUUUUCAUUAUGAAUGUUGCAUUUUUAUUCCGUGUAUUAUUUGGCUG